rnacentral:lncRNA from 1 species
CUGGCCUCCAAUUUGUGACCCUCCUGCCUUCAUCUCCAAAUUGCUGGGCUUACAGGUGAGUACCACCACACCUGACCGCCAGUGGCUUUUAUUGAAAUAUGUGUUUGUUUAUCCAGUUUUCUUUUCCUCUUUCAGUUAUCAUAGUGGUGAGUGCAAAGGUCUGUUACAACAUCCUACAUUCCAGAGAGAAGGCAAACUUUCCCCUUUUGGCAUUAGAGGAAUCUGCAAGAGAUGUGAACUGCAGGCAUGUGAACUAAUGUGUGGGAAAGAUGGAUUUGUUGGCAAAGGCAGGAAGAGGUCCAUCUAGGAGAGCCGGGAUACAUGCAAAGGAUGCUGUGACGACGAACAAAACGGGAAAGAUGACAUGGGGGAGCACUUUCAAGUUGUCAGACAGAUUCAAAUCUGUGUCUGUCCAACUGCAGAGCCUAAACUUUUGGUCAUCCGAUCUAUGAAGUUGUAUCCCCGAGAGUGGCUGAUAGAGAACUAAAACUCUUUGGUUUAAGUGGUUCUCCUGGUGUAUUCGUGAGACAUACUUUUGGCUUUGGGGCUUCUACAUUCAACUUUGUUUUACCUGAGAAUGGCUAAGAAGAUUCCCAAAACUCAUGUCAAACUCAUGACUUUCAUUGUAAGUUUCCUUUGCAAGUUUUUAAAAUGUAGCUUGUGAUGAACAAGAGUGUAGACUGUCUAAAAUUAAAUUUAUUGUAACUAUAAAAAACACAUGGCAUUGUACAUAUUUGGGGGGAACUAGGUGAUAUUCCCAUAUGUGUAUACAUUUUAUACAUUGUGUACAGUGCAUACUUUUUGAUUGGUAACUGGAUAAAUUAAGCAUGAAAUGUUUUUUAAAGUUUUUUUUUAGUUGUCAAUGGACCUUUAUUUUAUUUAUUUCUAUGUGGUGCUGGGAAUCCAAUCCAGUACCUCACACAUUCUAGGCAAGCGCUCUACCACAACCCCGGCCCCCAAGCAUGAUAAUCUUGUUCUAAUAAAAAAGUUUAUUUAUUUUUCUCCAUUGACUUAGCUUCUAGAAAUCUGUCUUGAGGCAUAAUUGCAGACAGAGUCUUAUGUGGAAAGUUAUGUAUAUAAUGAGCACAAAUUCAGAAAGGACUCAAAUGUCUUAUAUAAAGGAAUGAUAUAUAAUAUACAUAUAUAAUAAUACAUAUGACGAUAAACAUACGUGAAUCAUCUCACAUGGGGCCAUCAACAUGAGACUGAUUAAAAAUAAUUAUGGCAUAGUUAUGCUAUGGAAAAC